rnacentral:rRNA from 1 species
AAACGAUUGAAGCCAGUCGUACCGGCGGGUAAUCAGCCUUUUGGGUGUGAUUAUGUGGGGUGUGAGGAGCUAAUCACCUUCAUGCCUGCAUAUUCGUGCACUUUGGGUGUACUUGCUCGUGUGGUAGGUUAACAUCAAUUUUGAUCGUCAUAAAAUGGUUGGAGGAAUGUAGCUUCGAUCUCGUAUUGAAGUGUUAUAGCCUCCGGCAGAUGUGAUGAU